UUCCUACGGGAGGCAGCAGUGGGGAAUUUUGGACAAUGGGCGAAAGCCUGAUCCAGCAAUGCCGCGUGAGUGAAGAAGGCCUUCGGGUUGUAAAGCUCUUUUGUCAGGGAAGAAACGGUGAGAGCUAAUAUCUCUUGCUAAUGACGGUACCUGAAGAAUAAGCACCGGCUAACUACGUGCCAGCAGCCGCGGUAAUACGUAGGGUGCAAGCGUUAAUCGGAAUUACUGGGCGUAAAGCGUGCGCAGGCGGUUUUGUAAGUCUGAUGUGAAAUCCCCGGGCUCAACCUGGGAAUUGCAUUGGAGACUGCAAGGCUAGAAUCUGGCAGAGGGGGGUAGAAUUCCACGUGUAGCAGUGAAAUGCGUAGAUAUGUGGAGGAACACCGAUGGCGAAGGCAGCCCCCUGGGUCAAGAUUGACGCUCAUGCACGAAAGCGUGGGGGGCAAACAGGAUUAGAUACCCUGGUAGUCC
rnacentral:rRNA from 1 species